rnacentral:rRNA from 1 species
UCCUCCCUCUGUCGGCGUGCUUAACACAUGCAAGUCGAACGGAAAGGCCCUGCUUUUGUGGGGUGCUCGAGUGGCGAACGGGUGAGUAACACGUGAGUAACCUGCCCUUGACUUUGGGAUAACUUCAGGAAACUGGGGCUAAUACCGGAUAGGAGCUCCUGCUGCAUGGUGGGGGUUGGAAAGUUUCGGCGGUUGGGGAUGGACUCGCGGCUUAUCAGCUUGUUGGUGGGGUAGUGGCUUACCAAGGCUUUGACGGGUAGCCGGCCUGAGAGGGUGACCGGCCACAUUGGGACUGAGAUACGGCCCAGACUCCUACGGGAGGCAGCAGUGGGGAAUAUUGCACGAUGGGCGGAAGCCUGAUGCAGCAACGCCGCGUGCGGGAUGACGGCCUUCGGGUUGUAAACCGCUUUCGCCUGUGACGAAGCGUGAGUGACGGUAAUGGGUAAAGAAGCACCGGCUAACUACGUG